rnacentral:rRNA from 1 species
UACGUAGGGGGCUAGCGUUGUCCGGAUUUAUUGGGCGUAAAGAGCGUGUAGGCGGCCAGGUAGGUCUGGUGUGAAAACUCGAGGCUUAACCUCGAGAUGUCAUCGGAAACCAUCUGGCUAGAGUCCGGAAGAGGAGAGUGGAAUUCCUGGUGUAGCGGUGAAAUGCGCAGAUAUCAGGAAGAACACCGGUGGCGAAGGCGGGUCUCUGGGCCGAUACUGACGCUGGAGGAGCGAAAGCGUGGGGAGCGAACAGG